rnacentral:lncRNA from 1 species
AGCCACAGUGCCCAGCCAAUGCUCCUCUGUAUUUAGGGCAUAACUUAGACCUCCUGGUUGAGAGAGAGCUACUGUACCUCCAUGUCGGUGACAGCAUUCCAGACAGGAAAAGGUAACAAGGGUAAAGGACACAGAGACAUGCAGAUGGAACAGUCCUUUUUAGCAGAAAAAUGAGAGCUUGCUAUGAAGCUGCACCCAGCAGAAUUCCACUUACAUCUUAGUGCCUGGAACUGGGUUCCAUGGACACCACCAGCUGCAAGAGAGUCUGGGGAGUUCAGCCUUUUAAAAUGAGCACGUUGCUUCCCUAAAAAAAAUAGGGUCUCCAUUAGUAAGAGGGGAGGAUGAAUCUUGGGUGAAUAACUGGCACUGUCUGCUUCACCACAGUAUUUUGCUUUUGCU